CCUCUUCCCAUUCCGAACAGAGAAGUUAAGCCCCUCAUGGCCGAUGGUACUGCACUAUCAUGCGGGAGAGUAGGUAGCUGCCAUAC
rnacentral:rRNA from 1 species